UUCAGCUGUGAACGUGUAAACACACAGCCUCUUAACGUAAUAAUCCUGGUGAUAGAUUUGAGAUUUGUAUUUCACCUUUCACGCUGGGGCCAUCGGCGUGGAAAAUUCUUUCAAGUUCAGUUCAAUACCGGCAGUGCUGUAACUGGCAAAUAAACACAACUUCAAUUUACUGUGCAGACACAGGAAAAAUACGAUGGAGUUGGAAUUACCAGACUCUGAUGUUACGAGGGAAAGGAUCUUCGGGCAUGAAUUUAGCUGAGGGUCUCUCCUGUAGAGAGCUAUGCAGUAUUAACCACCACCUGAACACAGAAAUAAGCAAAAUAAUCUGGUUAAUAUUAGUUAAUAUUUCAGUGGAUUUUAAUGGGUCUUCUGACAGGUUACACUUCCCUAAGAGAGGAGCCUGGGGUUUCCUAUGACUGGUGGCCUGCGGUGCAGUCAACAAAAGGCUGCACAAGUACAUAGACUAAGCAGUUCGCCAAGUUUAGAAAUUUCUCUCUAAUAGCCACAUUAAUGAAAAGGAUAAUUAUCAGCAAUUCCUGCUAUGUGAUGGGAAUGUGUGAUGGCAGUGAAAAAUGCACACAGGCCCUGGAAAAUAACACCCAUGCUGAGGAUUAAGCGCUGGGACAAAUCUCUCUGAUCUCUGAAGGAAAAGGCAACAGAGCUGAUGGAGACUUAAUAGCUCUUUGCCUUUGAGUUAAAUACAUGAACAGAAGUGAUGAGGUUGGGUAGAAACUACUAAUAGAAAUAAGACAACACAAGCCUCACAGACAUUUAGUCUCUCCCAUAAAGGCAAGCUGCCUGCCAAGCAAGUAGGAAUUAGGAGAGUCUCCCAACCCUGUUGCUAUGUUCUCAUC